rnacentral:tRNA from 1 species
GCCUGAGUGGCUCAGUUGGUUGAGCAUCUGACUUUGGCUCAGGUCACGAUCUCACGGUUCGUGGGUUCAAGCCCCACAUCAGGCU